rnacentral:lncRNA from 1 species
GCGGUUAGAGCGGUUUGGGUGAUUGUUUCAAAACGCUAACAACGCUACCAACAGCAAAAGCUGCGUUUGCGGGUGUUAGCGGGAAAACCUAGUCAUACCUUUAAUUAUAGAUGAUACUUAGCACUAGAAAAAAAAACAUUUUCAGUUACUAUAAAAAACAUUUUGACAAAAAAAAACUCUGCAAAAGCAGGCGAUACUCUUGUUCUGUGACAAUAUAAUUCAUGAAAUCCGUAUAGCUGACACACCACUAC